UGUAAAGAUGACAGGAAAGAUGACAGUAUAUAUUUAACGAAAACAAUUUAAUCUAUCAAUCAAAAUUGAAUGUUGGAAAGUUUCGAAGAUGAUCUAAAUUGACAGAGUAUUAUGUUUUAUUUCUGAUAAAGAUACAUCGGUAGAGGUUUGCUUUCAGCAUUUUGGUAUGUGAGAAGGUACCAGGUUUGCAGCCGGUAGGAAAUCCGAGCUUUUAUUGCAGUCAUCAAAUCUUGGUCUUUGAGGAUUCUGGUUCUUGCAUUGCUGAAAAAAUGUUUGGUAUAGAUUCAAGAGAGUUAAAUGCUCCCUCCGAGGCAAGUUACCCGAAGGGCCAACUGGAACGUAAUACAAAGCGCUUGGCAGAUGUCGUCUCAGAUGCUUCAAAUUUUCAGUCAUUCAUUAUGAUAAACUUUGGAAGCUUUAGCAACAAUCUUUCUACUCCCUCUGGAGAGUUUGUUUCUGGCUGGUGCUCGUCUGACAUUCUAGUUUGUGAAGAGGAUGCACCAUUAAUUGUACCUCGUUCAUCUAAUGCUCAUCAGAGAACGUCUUUGUUGAUUAAAAUGAUUGCAAACCUUCAUUGCUUUGUUCCUGAUGUAUACCAGAAUGAGAAGGAUCUGUUUCUCAACAUGUUCAUUCGGGUCAUAGAGAAGGACUAUUAGAAACUGUCAGAUGGCAAAGUGUCCACAGUUAGCAAUAACUUGUGUUCACUGUUAUGUCAUGCAGAGUCUUUAGUUCCAGGAUUUUUGAAUGAAGAUGAUGUACAACUGCUGAGGGAAUACGCUUCAUAAAAAGGAAUUUUAGUGCCAGAAAAGGAAGGUAGGAAGUUUGCUGUACUUGCAUCUAAAAAGAAAUCAUGGGCCUUGGAAGCUGGUUGAGCACCCAAUUAGUGUCACGUAAAGAUACUUUCUAUGAGGUUAGUGUUGCCACUACUGUGGCAGGGUGACUGAAUUUUAAUAUUUUUGCAAUGCCGGAAUGGAAACUGCAGCUUGUUGUUACUAUGUAGUAAAUACUUCAAUUACAAUGGAUGGAAUCUAGACUACUUCGAUUUCUAUAUAUUUAGUCAAGUUCCUCAACAAUUUAAUUUGACUUAAUAUCUCUUAUAUGCCAGUUAAGCAGUUUAAUACGUAGUCUACUAUAUUUGAGUUUGUUAUCUUUAUUGUCCGUUUGAUGAUUAUGAUUGAUACAACAAAUUUUGGUUUACAAAUUAGUAGCAUUGUAAAAUACUAUUCAACCUAACUAAGUUGAAUAUUACCCUGUUAUAAUCAGUUUGUCUAUAAUGUUUAUCCUUUGUGAAUGCUUCUGCUUCAGGAUCAGUCAUUAAACAUCAAUGUGUGACUCACCGUACAUGGGGUAUUGCUUUACGUGCUAUUUUAGAUGCUUUGAGGAAGCCUGCAGAUUCAGAAAUUUGUUCCUUCCUAGUUUAUCAGUUAAUGUUAUUAUUGUGAAUUUCAGUCUUACCUUGGAUUUAUAACAUUCUGAUGUUUUCCUUUGAGAGUAUGGCAUUGGAGCAGUUUGUGGACCAUCUCAUUGAGUGGCCACAGUAUAGAGAGGGCACUCAACAGUAUUUCAGCGGCUUAUACUGAACCUGAUGGUGGCCAUAGUGCCAAUACUGCUCACCGACGCGGUCAUAUUCAAUCUUCAGCUCCACAUAUAGAGCAUUUUGUCUCGAUUAGCAAUUCCCUCUUUGAUCCCAGUGCAAAAGAGACCACCAAGUUCUCUGAGUUCACUCCUAAUUACAUGAAGCCAUCACAACACACCUACCCUUCCU